CCGAUCUUUAGAAAAUCGGGCCUUCGACUUUGCUCAUGUUAGGACGAGGUUCUCCUCCUGUUCCUAACAUGCUUAAUUUUGUUUGUAUGGGGGAGUUAUCUCCCAUCGUUAUAAGCUCAUACCAAAAGAAAGAAUGCACAAAUAUGAAGAGAAUUUUUAUUCAGGGCAAAGUUGUUGGUAAUAUAUUCGUAGAUUUUUCAAACCCUAUAACCG
rnacentral:lncRNA from 1 species